GUCUUUGUAGCUCAGUUGGUUAGAGCACUAGACUAUUAAUCUAGGUGAUGGACUUAAAAUCCAUUUACGGAAGUGGCUGUCUUCUUUAAAACA
rnacentral:tRNA from 1 species